rnacentral:rRNA from 1 species
UACAGAGGUCUCAAGCGUUGUUCGGAUUCAUUGGGCGUAAAGGGCGCGUAGGCGGCGCGGUAAGUCGGGUGUGAAAUCUUGGAGCUUAACUCCGAAACUGCAUUCGAUACUGCCGUGCUUGAGGACUGGAGAGGAGACUGGAAUUUACGGUGUAGCGGUGAAAUGCGUAGAUAUCGUAAGGAAGAACAGUGGCGAAGGCGGGUCUCUGGACAGUUCCUGACGCUGAGGCACGAAGGCCAGGGGAGCAAACGGG